AAAAGACUUGAGUUGUGCUGUAAAGAUGAACUUGAUUGGUCUGAGUUUGUUCGUGAUCCUCGCAAUGCAAUCCUGGCAGUUAGGCGUCAGCGAUUGCUGUGGAAAGACGUUAACCAGGUUGAAGAUAAAGAAAGGCGACGAUUGUCAUAAUUAUCACAAAAGUUACACGAUGAUUUUUAGUAAACAGUGCACUAAGCGGUUGUGUAGAGACUUAUCAGCGAAUUCACCUUGUUGUGGUGUUGGUAGUUGCGACGUAUUCUGUUGUGCAUGUGAUGGCGGCUGCCUUCAAGGCGAUAUUGCUGAGCAACUAGAUAAAUUGUAUGGCAAGAAUAUCACAUUGGUCAAACCCAAACCUAAGAAAUCAACAAAAAGUUCAGAAAACCUACAAUCUCAGCUAGUCUCAGUUACUCCUUAACGGAUGGCAAUUGGUGUUGAAUUUGCACUUUUAAAUUAAAUAAAUAUAUUUUGCUCUUUCUUUUUUGUA